rnacentral:lncRNA from 1 species
AGCUUUUUCAUAUAUAAAAGUUUCUAUUUCAUCACUAGCACUCAAACAUCAUCCAAAACAGUUUGGCAUAUACGUGUAAAGAUGGUCUCAUAAAAUUUUACUCAUUUAUAGGUGACAAUUCUCAUAAAACAUAGAUAGAGCGAAAGAUGUAAAUUAUUACAAAAGUUGGUUAUGAAACAGAACUACAUGCCACCUGCCCAAAAUGAAAGUUGGUAGUUGUCGUUACGUCCACCGAAUUUAAUCCCCUACUCAACCAAUAUUAACUGGUAAUAUAGAGUAAGUACAGAAUCGUCCCUCGAAGAAGCUCGUGUUAAACCUAUUUGAAAAGAAUUGAAAUCAAGUUAAUAUAAACAUAUGCGAGAAAGGAAAAAUGGGGGGGGGUCUCUAAUAAUGCUCUUUGGUAACAAAUAAAAUGUAGCAUAAAUUGUAAAUGCAGAAAGGUUGUCGAAUUAAGAGAAAGAGUGCUCAGUUAGUAACUCCUUAAUCCACCUAGCACAAGUCCUUAGCGUGAUUUAAUUAUUUUAAUUGUCUAAUCUAGCAACAAGGCUAAAGAAAAUCACUUACGAAAUGAAUUCUUAUCCCAAAUAAAUUCGAAUUCAAAUAGAGAACAUUCAUACUUGAAUACCUACCUUUAAUUUUUAAUUAAAAGUGCACUAAGUAUUUUAGAGAUUUCACCUUGUGUUAAUUAAAGAAAAUCCUCCAGCGGCUUCCAAAAUUAAAUCCGAAAUUGCGUUAAUUAGUGGCAUGCUAAUUUAUUAUCACUGAUUCUAAGUUUAAUUAAGAAAUUCGAUAACUCAAUUAUACUUAGAUGAUUAUGAGAAAAGUCCUAAAUUAGAUAGGCGAUCAAUCUAAUUAAUUUAGAAAAUUUCUUUGAACGAUAGAAUUAGCAACUCAAGAAUGCUAAAUCCGAAUUUAAACAAAAUAAACCUUCAAAUUCCUUGUGCUAAGUUUCAUAAGUGUCUAACUGAGCUUAAUCAAUUUAGCCACUCAUAGAAAUCGAACGAAACAGAAAUCAAUUGUAAACAACAUAAAUUACAGACUGAAUCUUGGAGAAGAAAAUGCCUAAAAUUGUCGAGCUUCCCUUCUCUCGAUUAGCUGAAAUCUUAGACUGCUGUUACGCUGCUUGAUCGGUUUUGGCUAGUUCAAUUUGAGCUUCUUCUUCGCUUGAAUGCUACGCUCCUAUUCUGCCGUCUCUUCCUCUAUUUUUUUCUUCUUCGUUUUCAACUGCUGGUUACUUCUAUUUAAGGAGUAAUGAUAUUAACCUUCAAUAAUUCAAAUAAAAUUUGAUCUUAUCC